GACGUAGGGCGCGAGCGUUGUCCGGAUUUAUUGGGCGUAAAGAGCUCGUAGGCGGCUUGUCGCGUCGUUCGUGAAAACCCGGGGCUCAACUCCGGGCUUGCGGGCGAUACGGGCAGGCUAGAGUUCGGUAGGGGAGACUGGAAUUCCUGGUGUAGCGGUGAAAUGCGCAGAUAUCAGGAGGAACACCAGUGGCGAAGGCGGCUCACUGGUCCGGUACUGACGCUGAGGUGCGAAAGCGUGGGGAGCAAACAGG
rnacentral:rRNA from 1 species